rnacentral:rRNA from 1 species
UACGGAGGGUGCAAACGUUGCUCGGAAUCAUUGGGCGUAAAGCGCACGUAGGCGGCCUGAUAAGUCGGGUGUGAAAGCCCUGGGCUCAACCCAGGAAGUGCACUCGAAACUGUCAGGCUUGAAUAUGGAAGAGGGUCGCGGAAUUCCCGGUGUAGAGGUGAAAUUCGUAGAUAUCAGGAGGAACACCAAUGGCGAAGGCGGCCUGCUGGGCAGUUGCUGACACUGAGGCGCGACAGCGUGGGGAGCAAACAGG